ensembl:lncRNA
GUAAGUAGAUAUAUGAGCAGACUCAUCCCUCUAGCCCACCUCGGGGUUAUUGCCAACUAUCAACAACAUCCAAGCCAAUGACGAUGCUAUGGUUCUAGUGAUUGACUGGUUAAAGAACAGUGUUGAGAAUGCCAUACCUCAGCACCGGCCAGGCUACUCGGAGCCUUCCUCGAGAAGGACAACCCCCUGUUCUGAAAAAGUUUAUUCACCACCUCCGGAGUCCCUCACCAGCGCAAAUGACGAGGACACAAAAAACUCAAAUGUGGUGGGCUGGAUUAUUCAUGGUCUGGGCCGUAUGAUGCCGCAGCCGGCGUUGAAAGGAAGCGAUGAUUCCGGAGAGAAUGGUGGCAUUGUGGUACAAAAUGGGGGGAGAGCUCUGAGAGCCCCUUAAACAAAAGGAGAAAGAAGACUGAGGAACUGUCUGUAAAAAUCACAUGAUCUCACUUACAGAGCCACUUACAUCCCUUACGUUACAAUAGCAUUAGAAAAGACAGUAGUGCCCAUUUAUCAUUUUCAGAGAUGUUCAAGCUCGAAGGAGCAAUAAGGCAGCUUUACAUUGACUUUGAUGUUCUAAAC